CAGACUCAGAGGAGGCGCAGUGCUGAAGUGAAAUACUCAGGAAUACACAAUUGCUUCAGCACAAUUUAAUGAAGAGAAUUCUUCCCUAAAGAUGGCAACUCUAAUUCCACAAAAUUAACUAUCCAGCCACUGGGGAAUGUCAAAUACCAGAUGGGCUACUCAAGGCCAGGAAAGUAAAACUGUAAUGAACUACCAACUCCAAGAGGAAUUCAGCCCUCUCAGCAACCACCUGCUUUCUGAUCCAAAAGGAGUUGGGGCAAUGUAGAAACAUAUACUACAAACACACAGAAGGCAGGUGCUGCUGCUAGCUGGACUCCUGAUGGCUAGAUCAACCAAUCCACAUAUUGGAGCAUCUCCACUGGAAACUAAGAUUAUACCUUGUGCCCUUCAAUUAAGAGAUUGGUUAAAGGCAAAUGAUUUAUUCAGCCUUCUUCUUCCAUGCACUCAGGCUAAUGCCAGGAUCGGGAUCUAAAACAGGAAAAUUGACAGUUUGUGUAUAAAACUCGUCAGCAAAAAAGUGAAGACCUGGCUUUAAAUGGAACAUUUUUCAACCAAUAGAGACAGAAGGAACUGUAGCUUUAAUAAAUGUGCGCUCGAAAUCACUUGCACUUCUGUUGUGAAAUCUUUCCUGCGUGAAGUCAAGAACUCACACACUGCUGGUCAGCCUGAGACAGACCCACUCCGGGUCCCGUCCUUUUCCAGUGACAUUAUAACUUGUGGACUUCAGAACCAGAAGGACUCAAAU